rnacentral:rRNA from 1 species
ACGGAGGGUGCAAGCGUUAAUCGGAAUCACUGGGCGUAAAGCGCACGUAGGCGGUCUUGUAAGUCAGACGUGAAAGCCCUCGGCUCAACCGGGGAAUUGCGUUUGAUACUGCUCGACUUGAGUAUCGGAGAGGGUGGCGGAAUUCCAGGUGUAGGAGUGAAAUCCGUAGAUAUCUGGAGGAACACCGGCGGCGAAGGCGGCCACCUGGACGAAUACUGACGCUGAGGUGCGAAAGCGUGGGGAGCAAACAG